GGCUCCCUGGCAAUGGGCAGAGAGACACCUUGUUGGUGGUGAUGCUCUUAUAUCAGCCAGGAGCAGAACAGACGGCAGUCCUUUGUUUAUCCUAGCUUAAUGUCUGGUUUGGUGGCCAAAGCUGCCUUAUGCCUAGGACUCAUAG